rnacentral:lncRNA from 1 species
GGAACGAGCCGUCCAACCGAGGGACUGGCUCACCAACAUGUACAAUAGAAUCCUCAAUACUCGUACGCUUAUGACAAGUCCUACGAGCGCAGACUAACCCUUCUAAGGAUCUACGAAACAUCCCGUCAAGGGUGCUCGGGUUCCAACAUAUCCGAGUAUCCUAAACUUUCAAGUAUCCAAUCCAAUUAUUCCAAAACCGGGGAGGUACAUAGGGUAGUGCUAAUAGCACUCAAAACUGACUUAAAUCACAACCAACUCACAUUCCAAAAU